rnacentral:rRNA from 1 species
CAUUGCGCAGGCCUACACAUGCAGUCGAGCGGUAGCACAGAGAGCUUGCUCUCGGGUGACGAGCGGCGGACGGGUGAGUAAUGUCUGGGAAACUGCCUGAUGGAGGGGGAUAACUACUGGAAACGGUAGCUAAUACCGCAUAAUGUCGCAAGACCAAAGUGGGGGACCUUCGGGCCUCAUGCCAUCAGAUGUGCCCAGAUGGGAUUAGCUAGUAGGUGGGGUAACGGCUCACCUAGGCGACGAUCCCUAGCUGGUCUGAGAGGAUGACCAGCCACACUGGAACUGAGACACGGUCCAGACUCCUACGGGAGGCAGCAGUGGGGAAUAUUGCACAAUGGGCGCAAGCCUGAUGCAGCCAUGCCGCGUGUAUGAAGAAGGCCUUCGGGUUGUAAAGUACUUUCAGCGGGGAGGAAGGCGAUAAGGUUAAUAACCUUGUCGAUUGACGUUACCCGCAGAAGAAGCACCGGCUAACUCCGUGCCAGCAGCCGCGGUAAUACGGAGGGUGCAAGCGUUAAUCGGAAUUACUGGGCGUAAAGCGCACGCAGGCGGUCUGUCAAGUCGGAUGUGAAAUCCCCGGGCUCAACCUGGGAACUGCAUUCGAAACUGGCAGGCUAGAGUCUUGUAGAGGGGGGUAGAAUUCCAGGUGUAGCGGUGAAAUGCGUAGAGAUCUGGAGGAAUACCGGUGGCGAAGGCGGCCCCCUGGACAAAGACUGACGCUCAGGUGCGAAAGCGUGGGGAGCAAACAGGAUUAGAUACCCUGGUAGUCCACGCCGUAAACGAUGUCGAUUUGGAGGUUGUGCCCUUGAGGCGUGGCUUCCGGAGCUAACGCGUUAAAUCGACCGCCUGGGGAGUACGGCCGCAAGGUUAAAACUCAAAUGAAUUGACGGGGGCCCGCACAAGCGGUGGAGCAUGUGGUUUAAUUCGAUGCAACGCGAAGAACCUUACCUGGUCUUGACAUCCACAGAACUUAGCAGAGAUGCUUUGGUGCCUUCGGGAACUGUGAGACAGGUGCUGCAUGGCUGUCGUCAGCUCGUGUUGUGAAAUGUUGGGUUAAGUCCCGCAACGAGCGCAACCCUUAUCCUUUGUUGCCAGCGGUCCGGCCGGGAACUCAAAGGAGACUGCCAGUGAUAAACUGGAGGAAGGUGGGGAUGACGUCAAGUCAUCAUGGCCCUUACGACCAGGGCUACACACGUGCUACAAUGGCAUAUACAAAGAGAAGCGACCUCGCGAGAGCAAGCGGACCUCAUAAAGUAUGUCGUAGUCCGGAUUGGAGUCUGCAACUCGACUCCAUGAAGUCGGAAUCGCUAGUAAUCGUAGAUCAGAAUGCUACGGUGAAUACGUUCCCGGGCCUUGUACACACCGCCCGUCACACCAUGGGAGUGGGUUGCAAAAGAAGUAGGUAGCUUAACCUUCGGGAGGGCGCUACCACUUUGAUUCGGG